rnacentral:lncRNA from 1 species
CCCCCCCAUUUUUCCUUUCUCUUUUCUCGCUCUUUUGUUCCUCUUUCACACUCGCACUCACUACUUCAGAGGGAGAUGCCCGGGGACGCCCCCUCGCCCCCUCCCCGAGUCGCUGGCCCACUUUUUUUCCCCGGGAUUAAGUUUUCUCCUCUUUCCCAGAGGCGGCGAGAAGUGGGGGAGAAACCCCUUCUGUCCUUUCCCCUCCCCGGGUCUGUUUCACAAGGGCAGGGUGCGCUUCCUUCCCUCGGUAGGUCUCGGAACUUUCAUCCUCGCCCAGGAAAAGCAACGAAUGGCUUGGGCACGCACAGAUCUCCAGAUUAACGAGCGAUUCGAGCAGAUCCGCCGCUUCUUACCCCCAAAUUUUCGCUUUUUUUUUUCUCCGUCUCACGAGUAGUCCUGACAAAUGGUCCAGGGCUGCGGGCGCAGUGCGCAUGUGCGCGUAGAGUCAGGGCUGGGGAGAGGGGAAACUGCGCUGGUGCCGGUGCCGCCGCCGCCGCCGCCGCCGGGGAGCCUCGCGCGGCCUCGCCGCCACUGCCGCUGCGCCUCCGCCGCUGCAAGGCGGCGAGCGAGGCGCCUGGCGAAUGCAGCUGCCCGCAGACCCCGCUUCAGGUGCAUCUUUUCGCUAGCCCCGCCGCCGGCUCGGGGGCGCGGCGAGAGCGGUCAAAACAAAUAGGAAAGACGACGAAGCACUUAGUGCAGUUCAUUGCACAUGAUGGGAGCUCAAUAAAUACUUGUGGAAUAGAACAGAAUGGAAUGGAAGUUAACUUCAGCCAUCAACAAUGCUCUGGGCCAGAAAUGACACCACCUGAUGGAUGGGCCUUCCUAAGAAUCGUGCUCUUCAACAAAAAAGAUAAAAAACGCAAAGAUCAAAACCUUGAAACCAUAGCUACAUCGUUCAGUACAGGUACCUACAGCUCUCAGGGAUUCUAUUCAUCAUCUUCAGUAAAUGUGACUAUCAACUUGUAUCUGAAUUAAUUUUCUAAAAUUAUAAAUGUAAAGCCAUGAUUUAAAUAUGAAUG